AGAGAUGGAAACUCAGUGGUAGAGCGUCCGCUUUGCAUGCGGAAGGCCCGGGGUUCAAACCCCCGCAGCUCCA
rfam:Trichuris suis scaffold74.10, whole genome shotgun sequence.